rnacentral:rRNA from 1 species
GACAGAGGUGCCAAGCGUUAGGCGGAAUCACUGGGCUUAAAGCGUGUGUAGGCGGAUGUCUAAGUACCUUGUGAAAUCCCACGGCUCAACCGUGGAACUGCUUGGUAUACUGGACGUCUUGAGCCAGCUAGGGGCUACCGGAACAAAUGGUGGAGCGGUGAAAUGCGUAGAUAUCAUUUGGAACGCCAAUGGUGAAAACAGGUAGCUGGGAGUGUGCUGACGCUGAGACACGAAAGCCAGGGGAGCGAACGGG